AAUAAAACUUAUUAACAUUAUUUACUUUAGCAUAUUAUAUCGUUAAUUUGAAUAAUAACAUAAGGCUUAACAUUUUUCUUAUAGAUUUUCAGGUCGAUCUCCUUCCUCCCCAGCUUGUCCACUUCACCAACUCCUCUUUACAGCAGCAACAGGGAGCCUUCUACUUCAAGUGAAGCUCGUCUCUUCGAUCAGAUGCACGAGUAUCUCUCGACAAAGCUGCGUACUUCACCCUCCUCCCUCGGCUUAUUCUUCCCCUUCAACUUCUACUGCAGGCAAGCAUGGAGUUGCUCCUCUUCUUUGGUUCCAUCUCACCCCAACAGAGCACGCGACAUAGUUGAUGAUGCCAAAUCAUCAUUACUGCUGAUGUUUUGACCAUGGUUUAAAAUUUAGCAAUAAGGCAACAGAUGUGAUCGAAGAAAUGGAGGCUGCUGGAGUUAAGCCUAACAUCAAAACAUUUACUACCAUGAUCAGGGGUUGGGCUCGGGCUUCACUUCCCGAGAAGGCUUUAAUGUAUUUUGAUGAGAUGAAAAGGAGAGGAUUGAAGCCAGAUAAUGCUGUUUAUCAUUGCUUAAUGACUUCGCUUUUGUCGCGGUCGACUGCAUCCGAGUACGUGUUCUCCGGGAUUUUGAGUGUAUGCAGAGAAAUGGUUGAUGGUGAAUUGACCGUUGACAUGGGCACUGCAGUUCAUUGGUCUAAAUGUUUGUUGAAGAUAGAGAGAGCAGGUGGUGAGCUCACAGAGGCAUUGCAGAAGACUUUCCCUCCUGCUUGGAAUUCAAGCAAAUUAGUCUUUACAAGAUCCGACCAAAUAAAGAUUGUAGACGCUACUGAUAGGAAUAAUUUUGAAAACAGGUAUAGUGAUGAUGAUGAUGAUUUGUAUAAUGUCUGAUUUAAACGUCUAUCCACUAUUUGAAUGUUCAUAUUGCAUAUCGGCCUCUUCUUCACUAUUUAUUUAUAUCUCAUGAGCUUGUUUUUAUUUUUCAUUGGAAGGCCACCAUGUCUUGCAGACACUAUGAUGCAAGACAAUAUGGAUGCAGUGUAAAUGCAUAAA